rnacentral:rRNA from 1 species
GAAUAUUGGGCAAUGGAGGAAACUCUGACCCAGCAACGCCGCGUGAAUGAUGAAGGUCUUCGGAUUGUAAAGUUCUUUUCUAAGGGAAGAAGAAAGUGACGGUACCUUAGGAAUAAGCCUCGGCUAACUACGUGCCAGCAGCCGCGGUAAUACGUAGGAGGCGAGCGUUAUCCGGAAUGACUGGGCGUAAAGGGUGCGUAGACGGGAAGGCAAGUUGGUUGUGAAAUCCCUCGGCUUAACUGAGGAACUGCAACCAAAACUAUCUUUCUUGAGUGCUGGAGAGGAAAGUGGAAUUCCUAGUGUAGCGGUGAAAUGCGUAGAUAUUAGGAGGAACACCAGUGGCGAAGGCGACUUUCUGGACAGUAACUGACGUUGAGGCACGAAAGUGUGGGGAGCAAACAG